UCUCCCUGAGACUUUAAGUCUCCUGAAGGAACGUUGAAGACGACGACGUUGAUAGGCCGGGUGUGUAAGCGCAGUGAUGCGUUGAGCUAACCGGUACUAAUGAACCGUGAGGCUUAACCUU
rnacentral:rRNA from 1 species